rnacentral:rRNA from 1 species
GACGUAGGAUGCAAGCGUUGUCCGGAUUUAUUGGGCGUAAAGAGUUCGUAGGUGGUUCGUUAAGUCUGAUGUUAAAGACUGGGGCUCAACCCUGGAAGUGCAUUGGAUACUGGCGGACUUGAGUGUGGUAGAGGCAAUCGGAAUUCCAGGUAUAGCGGUGAAAUGCGUAGAUAUCUGGAAGAACACCGGUGGCGCAAGCGGAUUGCUGGGCCAUAACUGACACUGAGGAACGAAAGCUAGGGGAGCGAAUGGG